CCUACGGGUGGCAGCAGUGGGGAAUAUUGCACAAUGGGGGCAACCCUGAUGCAGCGACGCCGCGUGGGUGAAGAAGUAUUUCGGUAUGUAAAGCCCUAUCAGCAGGGAAGAAGAUGAAAGUAACUGACUAAGAAGCCCCGGCUAACUACGUGCCAGCAACCGCGGUAAUAAGUAGGGGGCAAGGGUUAUUCGGGUUUAAUGGGUGUAAAGGGAGCGGAGGUGGGCUGGCAAGCCAGAAGGUGAAACCCGGGGCUUAACCCCGCAGAUGGCUUUGGAAACUGUCAGGCUGGAGUGCAGGAGGGGUAGGCGGAAUUCCUGGUGUAGCGGUGAAAUGCGUAGAUAUCAGGAGGAACACCAGUGGCGAAGGCGGCCUACUGGACGGUAACUGACACUGAGGCUCGAAAGCGUGGGGAGCAAACAGGAGUAGAUACCCUAGUAGUC
rnacentral:rRNA from 1 species